UACGGAGGGUGCAAGCGUUGUCCGGAAUCACUGGGCGUAAAGGGCGCGUAGGCGGCUCAUGAAGGCUGUGGUGAAAGUCCGGGGCUCAACCUCGGAUCGGCCGUGGCGACUCGUGGGCUGGAGCACUGUAGAGGCGGGUGGAAUUCCUGGUGUAGCGGUGAAAUGCGCAGAUAUCAGGAGGAACACCGAUGGCGAAGGCAGCUCGCUGGGACGUGACUGACGCUGAGACGCGAAAGCGUGGGGAGCAAACAGG
rnacentral:rRNA from 1 species